CAUUACUAGAGCAAAGGAUAGACAGCGCCCGCGGAGCUCGCUCCCGGGGCUACCCUACUCCCGUAGGGUUUAGAGUCGUCGGGCCUCUCGGAGAAGCUCGGUCCUGAACUCCACCCUUGAAUAAACUACCUUUGUUGCUUUGGCGGGCCGCCUCGUGCCAGCGGCUUCGGCUGUUGAGUGCCCGCCAGAGGACCCCAACUCUUGUUUUUAGUGAUGUCUGAGUACUAUAUAAUAGUUAAAACUUUCAACAACGGAUCUCUUGGUUCUGGCAUCGAUGAAGAACGCAGCGAAAUGCGAUAAGUAAUGUGAAUUGCAGAAUUCAGUGAAUCAUCGAAUCUUUGAACGCACAUUGCGCCCUCUGGUAUUCCGGGGGGCAUGCCUGUUCGAGCGUCAUUAUAACCACUCAAGCUCUCGCUUGGUAUUGGGGUUCGCGGUUUCGCGGCCCCUAAAAUCAGUGGCGGUGCCUGUCGGCUCUACGCGUAGUAAUACUCCUCGCGAUUGAGUCCGGUAGGUCUACUUGCCAGCAACCCCUAAUUUUUUUUAAGGUUGACCUCGGAUCAGGUAGGGAUACCCGCUGAACUUAAGCAUAUCAAUAAGCGGAGGAAAAGAAACCAACAGGGAUUACCUCAGUAACGGCGAGUGAAGCGGUAACAGCUC
rnacentral:rRNA from 1 species